rnacentral:rRNA from 1 species
AUUGAACGCUGGCGGCAGGCCUAACACAUGCAAGUCGAGCGGAUGAAGGGAGCUUGCUCCUGGAUUCAGCGGCGGACGGGUGAGUAAUGCCUAGGAAUCUGCCUGGUAGUGGGGGAUAACGUCCGGAAACGGGCGCUAAUACCGCAUACGUCCUGAGGGAGAAAGUGGGGGAUCUUCGGACCUCACGCUAUCAGAUGAGCCUAGGUCGGAUUAGCUAGUUGGUGGGGUAAAGGCCUACCAAGGCGACGAUCCGUAACUGGUCUGAGAGGAUGAUCAGUCACACUGGGACUGAGACACGGUCCAGACUCCUACGGGAGGCAGCAGUGGGGAAUAUUGGACAAUGGGCGAAAGCCUGAUCCAGGCAUGCCGCGUGUGUGAAGAAGGUCUUCGGAUUGUAAAGCACUUUAAGUUGGGAGGAAGGGCAGUAAGUUAAUACCUUGCUGUUUUGACGUUACCAACAGAAUAAGCACCGGCUAACUUCGUGC